UACGUAGGGUGCGAGCGUUAAUCGGAAUUACUGGGCGUAAAGCGUGCGCAGGCGGCGCGUUAAGACAGGUGUGAAAGCCCCGAGCUUAACUUGGGAAUUGCGCUUGUGACUGGCGUGCUGGAGUGUGGCAGAGGGAGGUGGAAUUCACGUGUAGCAGUGAAAUGCGUAGAGAUGUGGAGGAACACCGAUGGCGAAGGCAGCCUCCUGGGCCAGCACUGACGCUCAGGCACGAAAGCGUGGGGAGCAAACAGG
rnacentral:rRNA from 1 species